rnacentral:tRNA from 1 species
GGCGUGGUAGCUCAGUUGGUCAGAGCAUGGGUCUUACAAGCCCCAGGUCGUAGGUUCAAGUCCUACCCGCGCCA